CAAGCAGUGGGAGCCGACUUGUUCGGUGACUGCGUACCUUUUGUAUAAUGGGUCAGCGACUUACAUUCAGUAGCAAGGUUAACCGCAUAGGGGAGCCGUAGAGAAAUCGAGUCUUAAUAGGGCGUUUAGUUGCUGGGUGUAGACCCGAAACCGGGUGAUCUAUCCAUGAGCAGGUUGAAGGUUGGGUAACACUAACUGGAGGACCGAACCCACUGUCUUUGAAAAGCCAGGGGAUGACUUGUGGAUAGGGGUGAAAGGCUAAUCAAACUCGGUGAUAGCUGGUUCUCCCCGAAAGCUAUUUAGGUAGCGCCUCGGACGAAUACCAUUGGGGGUAGAGCACUGUUUCGGCUAGGGGGUCAUCCCGACUUACCAAACCGAUGCAAACUCCGAAUACCAAUGAGUACUAUCCGGGAGACAGACUGCGGGUGCUAACGUCCGUAGUCAAGAGGAAAACAAUCCAGACCGCCAGCUAAGGCCCCAAAAUUAUAGUUAAGUGGGAAACGAUGUGGGAAGGCAUAGACAGCUAGGAGGUUGGCUUAGAAGCAGCCACCCUUUAAAGAAAGCGUAAUAGCUCACUAGUCGAGUCGGCCUGCGCGGAAGAUGUAACGGGGCUAAAACUAUAUGCCGAAGCUGCA
rnacentral:rRNA from 1 species